rnacentral:rRNA from 1 species
UACAGAGGUGGCAAGCGUUGUUCGGAAUUACUGGGCGUAAAGGGCGCGUAGGCGGUCUUCUAAGUCUUGUGUGAAAUCCCCAGGCUCAACCUGGGAACUGCGUCCGAUACUGGAUGGCUUGAAUCCGGGAGAGGGAUGCAGAAUUCCAGGUGUAGCGGUGAAAUGCGUAGAUAUCUGGAGGAAUACCGGUGGCGAAGGCGGCAUCCUGGACCGGCAUUGACGCUGAGGAGCGAAAGCCAGGGGAGCAAACGGG